rnacentral:rRNA from 1 species
UACGGGGGGGGCAAGCGUUGUUCGGAAUUACUGGGCGUAAAGGGCGCGUAGGCGGCCCGCUAAGUCGAACGUGAAAUCCCCGAGCUCAACUCGGGAACUGCGUCCGAUACUGGCGGGCUUGAAUCCGGGAGAGGGAUGCGGAAUUCCAGGUGUAGCGGUGAAAUGCGUAGAUAUCUGGAGGAACACCGGUGGCGAAGGCGGCAUCCUGGACCGGCAUUGACGCUGAGGCGCGGAAAGCUAGGGGAGCAAACGGGG